rnacentral:rRNA from 1 species
GGCUACCAUGCAAGUCGAGCGGUAGCACAGAGAAGCUUGCUUCUUGGGUGACGAGCGGCGGACGGGUGAGUAAUGCAUAGGAAUCUGCCCGAUAGUGGGGGAUAACCUGGGGAAACCCAGGCUAAUACCGCAUACGUCCUACGGGAGAAAGGGGGCUCCGGCUCCCGCUAUUGGAUGAGCCUAUGUCGGAUUAGCUAGUUGGUGAGGUAAAGGCUCACCAAGGCAACGAUCCGUAGCUGGUCUGAGAGGAUGAUCAGCCACAUCGGGACUGAGACACGGCCCGAACUCCUACGGGAGGCAGCAGUGGGGAAUAUUGGACAAUGGGCGCAAGCCUGAUCCAGCCAUGCCGCGUGUGUGAAGAAGGCCUUCGGGUUGUAAAGCACUUUCAGCGAGGAAGAACGCCUAGUGGUUAAUACCCAUUAGGAAAGACAUCACUCGCAGAAGAAGCACCGGCUAACUCCGUGCCAGCAGCCGCGGUAAUACGGAGGGUGCGAGCGUUAAUCGGAAUUACUGGGCGUAAAGCGCGCGUAGGUGGCUUGAUAAGCCGGUUGUGAAAGCCCCGGGCUCAACCUGGGAACGGCAUCCGGAACUGUCAAGCUAGAGUGCAGGAGAGGAAGGUAGAAUUCCCGGUGUAGCGGUGAAAUGCGUAGAGAUCGGGAGGAAUACCAGUGGCGAAGGCGGCCUUCUGGACUGACACUGACACUGAGGUGCGAAAGCGUGGGUAGCAAACAGGAUUAGAUACCCUGGUA